ACAGAACAUAAUAAACUCCACGAACAUAUGGACAAGGUCUCUUGUUGUGAUUACAUGAGUACCUAUAAAUGUUACCUAGCAACAGUCAGUAUAAGUAUAUUCGUUUCUGUGCAGGUGGUUGGGUUUCCCGUGUAAAACUUAGUUAUUAUUCCCCUCCGUCGUUGCCGUAGGUAUCUCUUUUUAAGCUGAUCAAUAUCGUUCUUUAAAAUUAUUUUCGUAAUAUUUUAGAACUGUGUUUUGGGAUUCGCGGUUUGCCCAUGUGUAUGUAGUAGGACGUUGGCAGAAUUCAAGUGCACACACGUUUAUAAUUAACACAUGUCUUUAAUGUGUGGCUUAGCCUCGGUUUGGCCACGAACCCUUUGCCGACGUGUACUCGAAAAGACAUGGUAAGAAACCAGCAUGAACAGAUACAUUACAUUAAAUCAACUGGGAGACGGUACUUACGGAUCCGUCGUGUUAGGACAAAACGUAGAUACAGGCGAAAAAGUGGCCAUUAAAAGAAUGAAAAGAAAAUAUUAUUCUUGGGACGAAGCGAUGAAUUUAAGGGAAGUCAAGUCCUUAAAAAAACUCAACCAUGCGAAUUUAAUCAAACUAAGAGAAGUCAUCAGAGAAAACGAUACUCUUUAUUUUGUAUUCGAAUACAUGAAAGAAAAUCUUUACCAGUUGAUGCGGAGUCAGAGUAAAUUUUUCCCCGAACAGUCCAUAAGAAAUAUACUAUAUCAGAUUUUUCAAGGCCUCGCGUUCAUGCACAGGCACGGUUUCUUCCACCGCGACAUGAAACCGGAAAACCUCCUAUGCUGUGGUCCUGAACUGGUCAAAAUCGCUGACUUCGGACUGGCCCGAGAGACGAGAUCUCGGCCUCCGUACACCGAUUACGUCUCAACCCGUUGGUACCGAGCACCGGAAGUACUGUUGCACUCGGUCAACUACAGCACUCCAAUCGACUUGUGGGCCGUCGGUUGCAUAAUGGCCGAACUCUACACUUUUAGACCACUAUUCCCGGGAACCAGUGAGAUUGAUCAAAUAUUCAAAAUAUGCUCGGUUCUGGGCACGCCAGACAAGAAAGAAUGGUUCGAAGGAUAUCAAUUAGCUUCAGCCAUGAACUUUAGAUUUCCUCAGUUCAAACGGUUGAUGCUCAAUACAGUGGUACCGAACGCUAGUCGUGACGGUAUACAUUUAUUGGAGUUAUUGUUGAGUUGGAACCCCAUACGAAGACCUAGCGCUCAAAGUGCAUUAAGACAAUCGUAUUUCCAAGUGGGACAACAACGCCUUGCACAAGACAAUGUGGAGUUGGUGUACGCCAAGAGCAGUCAACUGCAGAGGAAACAACCUGCUCAGUUGAUGAAAUCCCAUAAUUCACUACUUCAACCGGCCGUCAACAACAACAACAACAAGGAGCUCAAAUGCGAAAAACAGUGGGACGUGGUGGUAAACAAACCGGUGGCCAACGGCAAGGACAAAUUAUUGUGGGCCAACAACGAUGUAAUCAACAAUGUGACGUCCAACAAAAGCAAAUUGAGUGCCAAACAGCAUUAUCUAUCCGUGGCCAGAUACGUUACUGGAAAGUCUACAACGUUACAAACCGACAAUGAGUAAAUUACAAUAAAAAUAAGAGUAGCAUAUUUCCAAAACUAUAAUUAUCUACACUUUUUGACAUUUAUUGAGAAUAUAAGAAAAAACUGUUUAAAAUUUUGAAAACAGUCAUUAUAGAUAUAACUUGCAAUAUAGAAAUUUCUCUAUACUUAGUAAGAAAAUGGUCAAAGACCUGAACAAUGAUAAAUUGUCAUCGGCCAGCUAUUUGUCGUAUGGCGACAAAAACAGAGACAAAAAACGUUUAGUCGCAAACAGAAAUGACUGGGUG